rnacentral:rRNA from 2 species
AGUCAACAUGCCCAGGGGACGUGGAUAACCUCGGGAAACUGAGAAUAAACCACGAUAGAUCAUAGCGCCUGGAAUGGCUUAUGGUCCAAACAGUUUACUGCCAUGGGAUGGGACUGCGGCCUAUCAGCUUGUUGGUGAGGUAAUGGCCCACCAAACCUGUAACCGGUACGGGCUCUGAGAGGAGGAGCCCGGAGAUGGGCACUGAGACAAGGGCCCAGGCCCUAUGGGGCGCAGCAGGCGCGAAACCUCUGCAAUAGGCGAAAGCUUGACAGGGUUACUCUGAGUGAUUUCCGUUAAGGAGAUCUUUUGGCAUCUCUAAAAAUGAUGCAGAAUAAGGGGUGGGCAAGUCUGGUGUCAGCCGCCGCGGUAAUACCAGCACCCCGAGUGGUCGGGACGUUUAUUGGGCCUAAAGCAUCCGUAGCCGGUUCUACAAGUCUUCCGUUAAAUCCAACUGCUUAACAGGUGGGCUGCGGAAGAUACUAUAGAGCUAGGAGGCGGGAGAGGCAAGCGGUACUCGAUGGGUAGGGGUAAAAUCCGUUGAUCCAUUGAAGACCACCAGUGGCGAAGGCGGCUUGCCAGAACGCGCUCGACGGUGAGGGAUGAAAGCUGGGGGAGCAAACCGGAUUAGAUACCCGGGUAGUCCCAGCUGUAAACGAUGCAGACUCGGUGAUGAGUUGGCUAUAUGCCAACUCAGUGCCGCAGGGAAGCCGUCAAGUUUGCCGCCUGGGGAGUACGGUCGCAAGACUGAAACCUAAAGGAAUUGGCGGGGGAGCACCACAAGGGGUGAAGCCUGCGGUU